rnacentral:rRNA from 1 species
UGGGGAAUAUUGCACAAUGGGCGCAAGCCUGAUGCAGCCAUGCCGCGUGUAUGAAGAAGGCCUUCGGGUUGUAAAGCACUUUCAGCGGGGAGGAAGGCGAUAAGGUUAAUAACCUUGUCGAUUGACGUUACCCGCAGAAGAAGCACCGGCUAACUCCGUGCCAGCAGCCGCGGUAAUACGGAGGGUGCAAGCGUUAAUCGGAAUUACUGGGCGUAAAGCGCACGCAGGCGGUCUGUCAAGUCGGAUGUGAAAUCCCCGGGCUUAACCUGGGAACUGCAUUCGAAACUGGCAGGCUAGAGUCUUGUAGAGGGGGGUAGAAUUCCAGGUGUAGCGGUGAAAUGCGUAGAGAUGUGGAGGAAUACCGGUGGCGAAGGCGGCCCCCUGGACGAAGACUGACGCUCAGGUGCGAAAGCGUGGGGAGCAAACAGG